GAUGAACGCUAGCGACAGGCUUAACACAUGCAAGUCGAGGGGCAGCGGGGGAGUAGCAAUACUCCCGCCGGCGACCGGCGCACGGGUGAGUAACACGUAUGAAACCUGCCCGUAGCAGGGGGAUAAGCGGAAGAAAUUCCGUCUAAUACCGCGUAACAACCCUUGGAGGCAUCUCCCCGGGGUUUAAAGGAAGCGAUUCCGGCUACGGAUGGUCAUGCGUCGCAGUAGCUAGUUGGCGGGGUAACGGCCCACCAAGGCGACGAUGCGUAGGGGUUCUGAGAGGAAGGUCCGCCACACUGGUACUGAGACACGGACCAG
rnacentral:rRNA from 1 species